rnacentral:tRNA from 1 species
UCAGAGGAAAGAUUUGUCUUAUCAUUAAUCUCCAAAAUUAAUAUUUUUUUUAAAAAAAAUUAAACUAUCCCCUG